AACGAACGCUGGCGGCAUGCCUAACACAUGCAAGUCGAACGAGAUCUUCGGAUCUAGUGGCACACGGGUGCGUAACGCGUGGGAAUCUGCCCUUGGGUUCGGAAUAACAGUGAGAAAUUACUGCUAAUACCGGAUGGUGUCUUCGGACCAAAGAUUUAUUGCCCAGGGAUGAGCCCGCGUAGGAUUAGCUAGUUGGUGGGGUAAUGGCCUACCAAGGCGACGAUCCUUAGCUGGUCUGAGAGGAUGAUCAGCCACACUGGGACUGAGACACGGCCCAGACUCCUACGGGAGGCAGCAGUGGGGAAUAUUGGACAAUGGGCGAAAGCCUGAUCCAGCAAUGCCGCGUGAGUGAUGAAGGCCUUAGGGUUGUAAAGCUCUUUUACCAGGGAUGAUAAUGACAGUACCUGGAGAAUAAGCUCCGGCUAACUCCGUGCCAGCCGCCGCAGUAA
rnacentral:rRNA from 1 species